CACCUUUUGACGGUGG
rnacentral:rRNA from 1 species